rnacentral:rRNA from 1 species
CCUACGGGAGGCAGCAGUGGGGAAUAUUGCGCAAUGGGCGAAAGCCUGACGCAGCGACGCCGCGUGAGGGAUGAAGGUCUUCGGAUCGUAAACCUCUGUCAGCAGGGAAGAACGGUCACUGUGCUAAUCAGCAGUGAAUUGACGGUACCUGCAAAGGAAGCACCGGCUAACUCCGUGCCAGCAGCCGCGGUAGUACGGAGGGUGCGAGCGUUAAUCGGAAUUACUGGGCGUAAAGCGCUCGUAGGCGGUAUGUCAAGUCAAGGGUGAAAUCCCCGCGCUCAACGUGGGAACUGCCUUUGAAACGGGCAAACUGGAGUGUGUGAGAGGAUAGUGGAAUUCCAGGUGUAGGAGUGAAAGCCGUAGAUAUCUGGAGGAACAUCAGUGGCGAAGGCGACUAUCUGGCACAUAACUGACGCUGAGGAGCGAAAGCGUGGGUAGCAAACAGGAUUAGAUACCCGAGUAGUC